UGCAGAGGAUGUGAAAGAAUAUUUGCCAUCUGAGAGACAGUGACAACAUUCCAAACCACCAAGAUCUCUGAUGCA
rfam:Erinaceus europaeus unplaced genomic scaffold scaffold00003, whole genome shotgun sequence